rnacentral:rRNA from 1 species
AGUGAACGCUGGCGGUAGGCCUAACACAUGCAAGUCGAACGGCAGCACAGUAAGAGCUUGCUCUUACGGGUGGCGAGUGGCGGACGGGUGAGGAAUACAUCGGAAUCUACUUUUUCGUGGGGGAUAACGUAGGGAAACUUACGCUAAUACCGCAUACGACCUACGGGUGAAAGCAGGGGAUCUUCGGACCUUGCGUGAUUGAAUGAGCCGAUGUCGGAUUAGCUAGUUGGCGGGGUAAAGGCCCACCAAGGCGACGAUCCGUAGCUGGUCUGAGAGGAUGAUCAGCCACACUGGAACUGAGACACGGUCCAGACUCCUACGGGAGGCAGAAGUGGGGAAUAUUGGACAAUGGGCGCAAGCCUGAUCCAGCCAUACCGCGUGGGUGAAGAAGGCCUUCGGGUUGUAAAGCCCUUUUGUUGGGAAAGAAAAGCAGCAGGUUAAUACCCCGCUGUUCUGACGGUACCCAAAGAAUAAGCACCGGCUAACUUCGUG